GGUUAAGCGACUAAGCGUACACGGUGGAUGCCCUGGCAGUCAGAGGCGAUGAAGGACGUGCUAAUCUGCGAAAAGCGUCGGUAAGGUGAUAUGAACCGUUAUAACCGGCGAUGUCCGAAUGGGGAAACCCAGUGCAAUUCGUUGCACUAUCGUUAACUGAAUACAUAGGUUAACGAGGCGAACCGGGGGAACUGAAACAUCUAAGUACCCCGAGGAAAAGAAAUCAACCGAGAUUCCCCCAGUAGCGGCGAGCGAACGGGGAGCAGCCCAGAGUCUGAAUCAGCUUGUGUGUUAGUGGAACGGUCUGGAAAGUCCGACGGUACAGGGUGAUAGUCCCGUACACCAAAAUGCACAGGUUGUGAACUCGAAGAGUAGGGCGGGACACGUGGUAUCCUGUCUGAAUAUGGGGGGACCAUCCUCCAAGGCUAAAUACUCCUGACUGACCGAUAGUGAACCAGUACCGUGAGGGAAAGGCGAAAAGAACCCCGGCGAGGGGAGUGAAAAAGAACCUGAAACCGUGUACGUACAAGCAGUGGGAGCACCUUCGGGUGUGACUGCGUACCUUUUGUAUAAUGGGUCAGCGACUUAUAUUCUGUAGCAAGGUUAACCGUAUAGGGGAGCCGCAGGGAAACCGAGUCUUAACUGGGCGUUAAGUUGCAGGGUAUAGACCCGAAACCCGGUGAUCUAGCCAUGGGCAGGUUGAAGGUUGGGUAACACUAACUGGAGGACCGAACCGACUAAUGUUGAAAAAUUAGCGGAUGACUUGUGGCUGGGGGUGAAAGGCCAAUCAAACCGGGAGAUAGCUGGUUCUCCCCGAAAGCUAUUUAGGUAGCGCCUCGUGAAUUCAUCUUCGGGGGUAGAGCACUGUUUCGGCUAGGGGGUCAUCCCGACUUACCAACCCGAUGCAAACUACGAAUACCGAAGAAUGUUAUCACGGGAGACACACGGCGGGUGCUAACGUCCGUCGUGAAGAGGGAAACAACCCAGACCGCCAGCUAAGGUCCCAAAGUCAUGGUUAAGUGGGAAACGAUGUGGGAAGGCACAGACAGCCAGGAUGUUGGCUUAGAAGCAGCCAUCAUUUAAAGAAAGCGUAAUAGCUCACUGGUCGAGUCGGCCUGCGCGGAAGAUGUAACGGGGCUAAACCAUGCACCGAAGCUGCGGCAGCGACACUAUGUGUUGUUGGGUAGGGGAGCGUUCUGUAAGCCUGCGAAGGUGACCUGUGAGGGUUGCUGGAGGUAUCAGAAGUGCGAAUGCUGACAUAAGUAACGAUAAAGCGGGUGAAAAGCCCGCUCGCCGGAAGACCAAGGGUUCCUGUCCAACGUUAAUCGGGGCAGGGUGAGUCGACCCCUAAGGCGAGGCCGAAAGGCGUAGUCGAUGGGAAACAGGUUAAUAUUCCUGUACUUGGUGUUACUGCGAAGGGGGGACGGAGAAGGCUAUGUUAGCCGGGCGACGGUUGUCCCGGUUUAAGCAUGUAGGCUGAUUGUCCAGGCAAAUCCGGAUAAUCAAGGCUGAGGUGUGAUGACGAGGCACUACGGUGCUGAAGUAACAAAUGCCCUGCUUCCAGGAAAAGCCUCUAAGCAUCAGGUAACAUCAAAUCGUACCCCAAACCGACACAGGUGGUCAGGUAGAGAAUACCAAGGCGCUUGAGAGAACUCGGGUGAAGGAACUAGGCAAAAUGGUGCCGUAACUUCGGGAGAAGGCACGCUGGUGUGUAGGUGAAGUCCCUGCGGAUGGAGCUGAGACCAGUCGAAGAUACCAGCUGGCUGCAACUGUUUAUUAAAAACACAGCACUGUGCAAACACGAAAGUGGACGUAUACGGUGUGACGCCUGCCCGGUGCCGGAAGGUUAAUUGAUGGGGUUAUCCGUAAGGAGAAGCUCUUGAUCGAAGCCCCGGUAAACGGCGGCCGUAACUAUAACGGUCCUAAGGUAGCGAAAUUCCUUGUCGGGUAAGUUCCGACCUGCACGAAUGGCGUAAUGAUGGCCAGGCUGUCUCCACCCGAGACUCAGUGAAAUUGAACUCGCUGUGAAGAUGCAGUGUACCCGCGGCAAGACGGAAAGACCCCGUGAACCUUUACUAUAGCUUGACACUGAACAUUGAGCCUUGAUGUGUAGGAUAGGUGGGAGGCUUUGAAGCGUGGACGCCAGUCUGCGUGGAGCCAACCUUGAAAUACCACCCUUUAAUGUUUGAUGUUCUAACGUUGGCCCCUUACCGGGGUUGCGGACAGUGUCUGGUGGGUAGUUUGACUGGGGCGGUCUCCUCCCAAAGCGUAACGGAGGAGCACGAAGGUUAGCUAAUCCUGGUCGGACAUCAGGAGGUUAGUGCAAUGGCAUAAGCUAGCUUGACUGCGAGCGUGACGGCGCGAGCAGGUGCGAAAGCAGGUCAUAGUGAUCCGGUGGUUCUGAAUGGAAGGGCCAUCGCUCAACGGAUAAAAGGUACUCCGGGGAUAACAGGCUGAUACCGCCCAAGAGUUCAUAUCGACGGCGGUGUUUGGCACCUCGAUGUCGGCUCAUCACAUCCUGGGGCUGAAGUAGGUCCCAAGGGUAUGGCUGUUCGCCAUUUAAAGUGGUACGCGAGCUGGGUUUAGAACGUCGUGAGACAGUUCGGUCCCUAUCUGCCGUGGGCGCUGGAGAAUUGAGGGGGGCUGCUCCUAGUACGAGAGGACCGGAGUGGACGCAUCACUGGUGUUCGGGUUGUCAUGCCAAUGGCACUGCCCGGUAGCUAAAUGCGGAAGAGAUAAGUGCUGAAAGCAUCUAAGCACGAAACUUGCCCCGAGAUGAGUUCUCCCUGAGACUUUAAGUCUCCUGAAGGAACGUU
rnacentral:rRNA from 2 species